rnacentral:rRNA from 1 species
GGGCCCGCACAAGCGGUGGAGUAUGUGGUUUAAUUCGAUGCAACGCGAAGAACCUUACCAGGGUUUGACAUCCUGCGAAUCUCUUGGAAACGAGAGAGUGCCUUCGGGAGCGCAGUGACAGGUGGUGCAUGGCUGUCGUCAGCUCGUGUCGUGAGAUGUUGGGUUAAGUCCCGCAACGAGCGCAACCCACGUCUUUAGUUGCCAGCAUUUAGUUGGGCACUCUAGAGAGACCGCCGGUGAUAAACCGGAGGAAGGUGUGGAUGACGUCAAGUCAUCAUGCCCCUUACAUCCUGGGCUACACACGUACUACAAUGGUAGUGACAAUGGGUUAAUCCCAAAAGCUAUCUCAGUUCGGAUUGUCGUCUGCAACUCGACGGCAUGAAGUCGGAAUCGCUAGUAAUCGCGUAAC